rnacentral:lncRNA from 1 species
AUACAACUGCUUACCAAAUACCAUUGACUUUUCAUAAGUUGUCCUUUUUGAACAAACCUUUCGUUUUCUAGUUUGAAUGGUUUUACACUAGUAAUUUCUGGGCCUUUAUAGCUUGUUGUUCGGUGUGAGCCAAGAAAUUAAAAGUGACAAAGUUUAUCCAACUGCACACCAAAUAUCAUAAAUAACUGACCUUAUCAAAAACUACUACAUAUUAGUCAAUAGACCAUGACAAAGGGGGUGGGCUAAAUAUUCUGGUAAUGAGAUAUACCUACAUAAUUUUUGUAUGUUCCUGUCCCAAGUCAGGAGCCUGUAAUUCAGUAGCUGUCGUUUGUUUAUGUGUUACAUACCGUAGAAAAGGGUGUAUAGUCCGCGGUUUUUUACCCUGGAAAUGAAAUUGAUGGAUGCGGUGCGGACUAUGCAGUACUAUAGGAUUUCAUGACAUUUUUUUUCUGAGGUUUGGCCAAGGAAACAGAAA